CACGCUUCGCCGGAUUUAACGCGCCUCGCGAAUCCAUCAAAGUCGCUGCGCCUGAAGGCAUGUACAUAGGCCACUUGGCGAAUAGGGACUACAUGUACUGGGUUGCGAAUACGGAAGAGACAUUGGGUUUUAGAGGGUUGUAAGGGAUGCCAUGGCAGGCAUAUCGCCAUAACCGCAAAACCUGAAGUUCUUUUCUUUUAGUGGAAGCCCGAGAAAGGUAGACGAUUGAACUUCUGGCGUACAAAGUUUCGCGAAAUUUCAAGUUGGCCCCUUUCUUUUACCACGUCUGGUAAAGUGGUCCACGUGCCAUUCCAGUAGUUUUAUUUAUCCCUUGGGUCACAUAUGUCUGUGCUUAGAACCCCCAACGCCCUCGUCGUCAAAUAAGCUUCAUUUGAUUUGAACCAAUUUGACUGUGCAAAGUUUAAGGGAAAAAAAUAAAUUUUGUUAUGAAACAAUUAAAGAACAAGAGCAAUAUUACAGAGAAAUAGAGAGAAAUUUUUAUUAAAUUUGUCACACCGGAAGAGACAUUGGGUUUUAGAAGGCUGUAAGGGAUGCCAUGGCAGGCAUAUCGCCAUAACCGCAAAACCUGAAGUUCUUUUCUUUUAGUGGAAGCCCGAGAAAGGUAGACGAUUGAACUUCUGGCGCACAAAAGUUUGGCGAAAUUUCAAGUUGGCCCCUUUCUUUUACCACGUCUGGUAAAGUGGUCCACGUG
rnacentral:lncRNA from 1 species